CAACAAACUGUUUGCUGCAGUCGCCUCCUUCUGCUCCAAGUGCAUUACACACACUGUUUCACUGUCUGCUUCUCUCCGAUCCAAGACAUUUCUCGUUCCGUCUGUCUAAAUCUCUUAAUGAUCGGAGCGAAGCCG
ensembl:ncRNA ZC477.15 ncRNA